AGGUAAGAUUGGUCCGUAAGCUUCAGAAGCCAGUGAUCCUGACUGCCAAGUGAUUUGCCAAAGGAAGUUAUGGAAAGGAUUAUGCUUUUUGGAGGAAACUUAGAUAAAACAUAACAGUUACUACUUUUGUAAAAAAAAAAUAAGCUGGCAAUUUAGGGACAUGGAUGAAUCUGGAGAACGUCAUCCUCAGCAAACUGACACAAGAACAGAAAAUGAAACACCGCAUAUUCUCACUCAUAGGCGGGUGAUGAAAAAUGAGAACACAUGGACACAGAAAGGGGAGUACUAAACACUGGGGUCUA